rnacentral:rRNA from 1 species
CUUAGUACGGCGAGCGAAGUGGGAACCGGUGCCCAGGUCUGAAAUCUCCGUCCCGACCCUGAGGGAUGGCGAAUUGUGGUCUGGAGAGACGGACUGUUCCGAUUGUCACUGCUCCUCGGCCCAAAGUCGACUUGGAACGGCGCGCCACAGAGGGUGAGAGCCCCGUAGGGCCUAGAAAUGGGAAGCGGCGGGACGAGGGUCCGUUCUCGUAGAGUCGGGUUGUUUGGGAGUGCAGCCCAAAUCGGGUGGUAGACUCCAUCCAAGGCUGAAUACAAGCGUGGGUCCGAUAGCGGACAAGUACCGUGAGGGAAAGGUGAAAAGCACUUUGAAGAGAGAGUUCAAUAGAGCGUGAAACCGUUGGGAGGGAAGCUCAGGGCCCCGAGGCGGUUGGGGCGUCGGUGCUCAGGCGGGCUGCUCUCGGGCAGGCCGUCGCAUUUGCCGUCGCCUUGUGGAAACCGUCAGCGAGAGGAGAGCUCGCCUGUUCCGCCAGGUGGAGGAGGUGGCAAGGGCUCGGUUUACCGGGCUUUUGUUCGUACAGCUCCUGCCUGUCGGCUGGCGUGGCGAUCCUCGGGUGCGAAUGUUGAGGACGUCGCUUCGUCCGAUUGGGAAAAGGUGCGGACCUCCCUCGGGAGGUGCGGAGGCGGUGUUGGGGACUCGUGAAGCGAGUGGAAGGGUGCUCUCGGGUCCUGUCUCACGGCAGCGGCUUCGACGGGCAACUUUGCUCGUUAUCCGGGCUCUCUGGCGUC